rnacentral:rRNA from 1 species
AGUCCCUUGGAACAGGGCGUCAUAGAGGGUGAGAAUCCCGUCUUUGACACGGACUACCAGUGCUUUGUGAUGCGCUCUCAAAGAGUCGAGUUGUUUGGGAAUGCAGCUCAAAAUGGGUGGUAAAUUCCAUCUAAAGCUAAAUAUUGGCGAGAGACCGAUAGCGAACAAGUACCGUGAGGGAAAGAUGAAAAGCACUUUGGAAAGAGAGUUAAACAGUACGUGAAAUUGUUGAAAGGGAAACGAUUGAAGUCAGUCGCGUCUUCCGAGAUUCAAUCUUGCUUAACGGCUUGGUGUAUUUCUCGGAUCAGACGGGCCAGCAUCAAUUUGAAGGGUUGGAAAAAGGCAUUGAUAAUGUGGCACUCUUUCGUGGAGUGUGUUAUAGAUCUCUGUCGCAUACAACACUUUGGAUUGAGGAUCGCAGCACGCUUUUGGGAUUUAUUUCAAAGGUCGGGGUUCGCCCACGUUCACGUGCUUAGGAUGCUGGCGUAAUGGCUUUAAACGACCCGUCUUG